UGUUGUACACGUCAUAUUAACGCGAUCGUCUUGUUCGAGCCCAUGCACCGAGAACGUAAUUGUGUGAGGAUAUUGUUGCGGAGUGACGAGUGUAAUUGUAUCAUAGUUUAUGGAGAAAAACAAAUUAAAAGGGACGUUCAACGCGCUGUCAAAUCAGUCAUAUUUAAACUUGCGCAAAGACGUCGGCAUGUGGUCGCGGAGGAAAACGAUCAAAGAGAAAUUAAGGUCCUCACAUGGCGCGAAACCAACUUUUUCCAUGUCAAACUUGGACAGCGGCUGUCCAUGACACACAUGACAACAUCAUCUUCUAGUGGCGUAGAGCUCCACUCCACAGAAAAUACUGUAAUAAAGGAACUGGAAGAAGAGCCCUUUCGCUUUGUGGCCUUUAAAAUCAAUGGUGAAUUUGAACAAGGAGUUUGUGGACGCCACCAAUGCCACCAGAAUGUUUCCAUUAGAGGAGUGGAAGAGGGGUUUUUGUGAGACCACCCUCAGAGGCCGGCCUCUUCGACCUGCGACCAGAGAUGCUGGUGUGGCUCCACGACACCAAGUUGGAGAGAGAGAGAGAGAGAGAGAGAGGCAACGUCAUAUGCCGAUUUAGGUGACCCAGUUUAUUAUUUUGUUUAUAGCAAAUACAGUCGCAAAUAUAUUGUUUCAAUGUGUAGUUAAUGGUAUUAAUGUAUUGUAUAGUAUAUGAUUUCAAUCUAUUUUAAUCUAUAGUAAUGGUAUUUUACCCAUGUCUUAUUUUGGGAUAUUUGUAACUUCAGCUGUCUUUAUUUUAGUAUUCUGGAAUACUAUGGUUUAUUUUGAAAAUGUUGCUCAGAUGUCGCAUGUAUUCCCAUUCUAGAUUGAUAGAUAGAAUUUACGGUAGCGUUCUUUGGCCUGCUGUCCAAAGAACAUAGAAAACAAUACGGAAUGCGAUCAUCUCAUGUGCGGUGGCACCACAAAGUAGGUUGCAGAAGUUAACUCAGCAGCAUGGACGCGUUCCAGGCAGUUACUGCGACCGCAAGGGGGUAAGUAUUACUAAAAAGAAGCACACAAGUUUCAAACUUGCCGAGUGGACAGUGAAGCAGAAAAUAGAUUUGUCAAAAAGUGUGAGGAAAAUAUGCACUGUCUGCCGACUCACAUUUUCCAUAGUCCAUGUGGAACUGACUCACCUUAAGCAACACGGUGGACACGAACGAAAAAACGCACAACUAAGGAAGGGGGAACCUGGACAGAUCCAUCAGGCAACGACAAAGAUGAUUAUCCAGACAUCCCCAACGUCAAAGCAACACGUCUUUGGCCUCAGCAUCCUUAUUUUCCAAUGGGAUUUGUGGACAGGAAUGUCUUUUUCGACAUGUUCCAACUUUAAACUGUUCAUCUCAUGCUUAAUAACUGUCACUCAGCACUGACACCUGGUGGACGUUAUGUUGUCAUGCAGAUUUUGUUAUGCCUAAUAAGAACAGAUUCAGAUUUGAUUCUUAGUAGUUACCUUGCUGACUGUUUCUUGUUGACUAAUACUUCUUGCGUAUGUACUGUUUUUACUCGCUUAUUGGUUUUCUUGCUUACUGCUUUUUCUAAAAUGUACAUAUUCA